rnacentral:rRNA from 1 species
GGGGCGGUCGCCUCCUAAAGUGUAACGGAGGCGCGCGAAGGUUGGCUCAGAGCGGUCGGAAAUCGCUCGUUGAGUGCAAUGGCAUAAGCCAGCCUGACUGCGAGACUGACAAGUCGAGCAGAGUCGAAAGACGGCCAUAGUGAUCCGGUGGUCCCAAGUGGGAGGGCCAUCGCUCAACGGAUAAAAGGUACGCCGGGGAUAACAGGCUGAUCUCCCCCAAGAG